rnacentral:piRNA from 7 species
UGGCUAAGAUCAAGUGUAGUAUCUGUUC